GUUCUUUCUACUUCUGUUCCCUCUAGUGCAGAGCCAGGAGUUGUUAUUAGCUGUCCAAUUUGCAUGGACUAUUACUCAGAGAUCAUGCAAAAUGGACGACAGCUUGUGACAACUGUGUGUGGCCACGUGUUCUGCAGUGGGUGCCUCCCUGCUGCCCUGGAGAACACCGGCAUGUGCCCAAUGUGCGGCGUGCAACUCGAUCCAGGGUUGUACUUUCCUAUUUAUUUAUGAGCUCUUCUGCUGCUCAGGACACUCUCAGGUGGACCUUGAAGAACAGGCGGUGCAGAGGCUUGCUUCUUUCUGUAUAUAGUUUUUUUCUGUACAUAGUUUCAUGUUUUCUGCGUUCAGUUAUACAUAAAGUUUUGAUUGAUUUAAAUCUA